GUUGUGCAUGACAAAAUUGGUUUACGUCACUUUGCAACAGUGACAGUUAAAUUAAAAAAAAAAAGUUCUGUUGAGCUAAAAUCGUUUAUGCCAAUACUUUUAAAACAACAGGUUCAUCGGCCAGGAAGAGGAGGACAUCCUGUUAAAAGUCUCAGAGAAAGAUGGGUGUGAGCUUUACCUAGCUAAUUAGCUAAUAAAUGUUCUAGAUAAUUAGCCUGGAGAGUCUGAGAGGGGGUCAGAGGUUUACCCAAAUGGCCCCAGGGAUACAGCCUACUUGACUUAGCUGCUCCCUACCCAGUUAAGUGGACAAUUCUUGUUCUGUUGGGAUGACUCCAGACCUGACAGACAGCCAGCAGGUCUCUCCUAAACAGUUCUCCAGAGAGAAAUGAAUCUGAGAAGGAAGAGGGGCAGGGGAAGGCAGAGUGUGAGGAGCACUGCGUUCCUCUCUCUGUGCAGUAUUGGGUUUUAUUGAAGAUGAAGAAACUUCUCUUUGAGUCUCUUACUUGGAAAAAAUGCAGGGUGUUAUCAGGAAUAAAUCAAACUAAUCCUUCCUUUUUACCAGGAAUCUCUUUGUAGAAAAUCAGGUAGCUCUCACAAGACCGGGAUGAAAGAAAAUAAAACAGUGAUGCCUCCAUUAAGUUACAGGAAAGAAGAGGAGGGGAAGAAUGGACAGAGACCUAGUCCACAUUGCCUUCAUCAACAGGCACACGGCCCCCACACACUUUAUGCAUCCAAAGGCAUACAUUGAAGACCAGCUGGUCAUCCACUGAUUUAAAAUUUCAGAACAUGAUUUGUGACCACAUACUGUGUGCAGGGCUGUGUUAGAUGUUAGGGACACAGUAAGGAACAGAAGGGCCUUAUACUGGAGGGAGAGACAGACAUCAAACAUAUAAUUACACAAAUUGCUAUAUAAUUCUAACUGUAAUGAGCAUUAAGGAGGAAAAUAGGGGAUAACAUGAGAAUGUAAAAUGUGGGUGACAAAGGCAGUGUCUAGCCUGAGAGAUCAGGGAAGGCAUCCCUAAAGAGGCAGCAUUUAAGCUGAGACCUGAAGAAUAAAUCAAAAAUAGGGAUGGUACAUAACAGGUGAAGUGUGUAUGUGGAGGGGGGUGGAUAUCCUGUGUAAAGGUAUUUAUUGUUGUUUGCUGCUGUUGAGUUGGCCCUCGACUCAUGAACAGUGAGAUUGGACCAUUGUGAUCCAUAGAGUUUUCAUUGUCUGAUUUUUGGAAGUAGAUCACCAGGCCUUUCUUCCUCAUCUGUCUUAGUCUGGAAGUUCCACUGAAACCUAUUCCACUGCUGUUGAGUUGAUUCAGACUCAUAACAACUCUACAGGACAGAGGAGAACUGCCCCAUAGGGUUUCUAGGCUAUAAAUCUUUAUGGGAACAGAUUGCCAUAUCUUUCUCCUGCUGAAACCUAUUAGCUCCCUCAAAAGUCUUAAGUUGGGAAAGGGCCUGGACAAGUUCAAGAAGCAGAGAGAAGGCAGUGUGAUUGGGGUAGAGGAUAAAGGCAGAGUGGUAAGAGAAGAGGCAGGGAUGGUGCUGGAAAUACGAAUAGGAUUUAGACAACUACUGCCCUUGGGGAACACCAUCAAGUGAAAGAGAUCACUGUGUGACGGGCUGUGAGACUUCUGAGAACCGAGCGGCGAAUGCUGCCUAGACGAGUUAAGGAAGGAGGUGAUAUUUGAUCAGGGUCUCAAAGGUUGCACAGAAGUUUGUCAAGUCAAAAGAAAGGCAGAGGAAAAGGCACCUGAAAAGGCCAGAUGAAGAGUCAGAGUAACCAGAGCAUAGAGUAUGCUACAGGAAAUAUCAUGAAAUGAGGAAAGGAGUAGAUUAUAGCAUUGUAUUGUUUAAUUUAUUCAUUCAUUUAGUCAACAAGUAAAAUAAGUUCUAUAAAGAUAAGGAAAUGGGCUGAAGAGUGUAGCUAUGCAAAGAGAGGUUUGCAAUUUGAUAUCCGAGUAGCCGGGGAAGACCCACUGAGAAGUGGACAUUUGAGCAGAGACCUGAAGGGGGUAAGGGAAAGAGCUAUGCAGAUAUCUGAGGAAAGGCCAUUGUAGCAGAGGAAACAGCAAGUGCAAAGGCUCUGAGGUGGAAACAUGUCUAGAGUGUUCAACACAGCAAAAUGGCCAGUGUGUUUGGAACAGGAUAAACGCAGUAGGAAAUAAGGUCAGAGAGGUGAAGGGCCUGAUUGUGUAGACCUUGUAAGCUAGUGUCAAGACUUUGGAUUUUACUCUGAAUGAGUUGGGAAGCUGUAGAAGUUUUGAUGCAGAGGAGUGAUAUGAUCUGACUUACGUUUUAAAAGGACCAUUUUGGCUACUGUGAUGGUUAAGAUUCUGUGUCAACUUGGCUAGGCCAUGAUUCUCAGGGUUUAUAUGUGAUCACUCCAAUGAUGGGCUCUGCUGCGAGUAGCCAAUCAGUUGAAAGGGAGUUUCCUUGAGGGUGUGGGUUGCAUCCGAAUAUAAGCAGACUUUCUGCUCACUCUGGAUCCUGUGGCUGCCUCCUGUUCAUCUGACCUCCGGUUCUUGAGACUUGAGCUAUCAGCUUAUCUGCCUAACUAGGAAUUCGUCAAUCUUCACAGCCUGUGAGCGGAGCCCUGGUCUCCGACCUACCAAUCUUGGGUUCUCCAGCCCCUACAGCUACAUGAAUUGAGAGAAGCCUCUAUCCUAAUCUACAGACUUGGGACGAUCCAGCCUCUACAAUUGUGUGAGCUGUUUCUUUGAUAUAAAUCUUUAUAUAUAUAUAUACACUUUACUGCUUUUUCUUCUCUAGAGAACCCAGCCUAAGACAUUUGGUACCAAGAGUGAUUCUAGUGAAACAAAGCUGUAAGGAUGAGUUUUCUAAACUGGUUCUCAAGUCUGGCUAAUCUUAAAGAUGUUGAUGACUCUACUUCCAGCAAUAAAGAGGGCACUCUGCUAAUCCAUGGUGUGAGAUGGCAAUACAAAUAUGAAAAAUAUCACCACCAAUAGAUCAGGUAUUGGUGAAAGGUGAGGCUGUGGGUCAAUACAUGCGUGAUAUCUUUCUACAGUUUUGUCAAGAUAAGAAGUAUAAAGAAGCUGAUUGGUUGGUCCUACUUUCGCUAGACAAACUGGUAAAAGAAAGAAACGUGCUCAGAGCUUCACAGACAAAGCUCAAGUCCUGCAUAAAUGACCUCAAAGUUUCCACCUGUGCUUUGAAAGAUAGCCUUAUUUCUUGUAGUAACAGAGCUGAUAUUGCUGAAAACCGAACCCAGAAUCUUAUUGUAAGAGUGGCUGAAUUGCAACUCAAUUGCCAACAUGAAGAAGUGUCUGAAGUUAAAGUAAGGGCAUUGGUUGGGAAGAAAUGGGAUCCUGAAACUUGGGAUGGGGACACAUGGGCAGAUAAUCAGGAAGCUGUAGACACUGAGCUCCUAAAUUCCAUUGAAUCACUCCUGCCAUCAGAACCACUCCCAUCUGAUGAGAUUGCUUCAUGUUUGUCUGCUAAACCCCAUUCCCAGAAAAACCAUUAGCCCCUCUAUUCCCAUCUAAUGAGAUUAACCCUAGCCCAACUGCCUCUAAAGAGCCCUUGCCUGAGUCAUUGCCUGGGACAUUGCUUGAGGCAGAUGCUUUACAAAACAAUGCUGAAUGUUCUCAAAACAAUUCCACGCUACCCAUUCUGGCUUCUAGACCUAUAACUAGACUUAAGUCCCAGCAAUCCCCAAAAGGUAAAGUACAAAGUGUGACCCAGGAGGAGGCACACUACACUCCAGAAGAACCGCUUGAUUUUUCUAACUUAUACAAACAGAAACCUGGGGAAUAUGUGUGGGAGUGCCUAUUAAGGGUGUGGGGUUAAUGGUGCAAGGAACAUAAAGAUGGAUCAGCCUGAGUUUAUUGAUAUGGGUCCACUAAGCACAAAUUGUUCAUUAGUGUUUCAGCUCAGGAAGUUAGGAAAGGAGCUAAUAGUUUAUUUGGUUGGGUUGCUGAAGCAUGGAUUACGAGGUGGCCUACACCAGAUCAAGCUGAAGUACCAGACCUACCAUGGUAUACUGUAGAAGAAGCUAUCCAAAGGUUUAGGGAAAUUGGAUGCUAGAGUGGAUUUAUCAGGUUAGACCCACAGAUCUACACAUGGAGGGCCCAGAGGACACACCUUUUACCACAACAGUGAGGAACAAAUUUGUGAAGGGAGCUCCAGCAUCCUUGAAGACUGCUGUGAUUGCUAUUUUGUAUAAAUCAGAUUUGACAGUGGGAACUGCCCUAAUUGAAUUAAGACACGUAACUAAGAUGGGGCUGAUUGGAGUCCAUGGUAAUAGGGGCCAAGCGGGAGCACUCAAUAGACAAAGACAAGGUGGGUGUUGUUAGAGUAAUGGGCAGUGAAGUCAAAGCAGUAAUCAGAAUAUUCUGACUCAUAUGGACUUAGGGCAUUGGCUACUUAGUCAUGGUGUCUCUAGGAGUGAAAUAGAUAGGAAAUCUACUAUAUAUUUACUUGAUCUGUUCAAAUGGAUGAAUUCUAGGUGAUGUGAACAGCAGUCUAACUCAAAUCGCCAGAAUAGAGAGUCACUCUCCCUCAAUUAAUUCCCAGAUUUGAACAAGUUUAAAGACCUACAGCCCCUUGAGUAAACGGGAAGUUGGGUCCCCUUGAGGAAGGACUCCAACACACUGCCAAUUUUUUUUACUGUUAAUCUCUCUCCCAGCCUUCCCCAAAGUGACCUAUGGCCUUUUACAAGAGUGACUUCACUGGGGAAAAGGAAAUAAUCAGAUUUUCAAGGUUUACUGGACACUGGCUCUAAUUCCAGGAGACCCAAAACAUCACUGUGGCCCACCAGUCAGAGUGGGGACAUACGGAGGUCAGAUUAUUAAUGGAGACUUGGCUCAUGUCCGUCUCACAAUAGGUCCAGUGAGUCCCCGAACCCAUCCUGUAGUGACUUCCGCAGUUGUAGAAUGCGUAACUGGAAUAGAUAUACUCAGCAACUGGAAGAACCCCCACAUUGGAUCCCUGACAAAUGGAGUAAGGGCUAUUAUGGUAGGAGAAGCCAAGUAGAGGCCAUUAGGACUGCCCCUACCUAGGAAAAUAGUAAACCAAAAGCAACACUGCAUUCCUGGAGGGAUUGCACAGAUUACUGCCACCAUCAAGGACUUGAAGGAUGCAGGGGUGAUGAUUCCCACCACAUCCCCAUUCAACUCACUUAUUUGGCCUGUGCAAAAAACAGAUGGACCUUGGAGAGUGAUAGUAGAUUACUGAAAAUUUAACCAGGUGGUGACUCCAAUUGCAGCUGCUGUUCCAGAUAUAGUUUUAUUGCUUGAGCAAGUUAAUACAUCUGGUACCUGGAAGGCAGCUAUUGAUCUGGCUAAUGCCCUUUUCUCCAUAUCUGUUUCGAAGGACCAUCAGAAGCAGUUUGUCUUCAGCUGGCAAGGCCAGCAAUACACCUUCACUUGCCUACCUCAGAGCUACAUCAACUCUCCAGCCCUAUGUAGUAAUUUAAUCCCCAGGAAACUUGAUCCCCUUUCUCUUCCACAUGACAUCACGCUGGUCCACUACAUUGAUGACAUUAUGCUGAUUGGACCUAGUAAGGAAGAAGUGUCAAUGACUCUGGACUUAUUGGUAUUUGCAUGCUAGAGGUGGGAAAUUAAUCCCACAAAAAUUCAGGCAUCUUCCACCUCAGUGAAAUUUCUAGGGGUCCAGUGGUGUGGGGCACAUUGAGAUAUUCUUUCUAAAGUGAAGGAUAAGUUAUUACAUCUGGCUGCUCCCACAAAUAAAAAGGAGGUGCAAUGCCUAGUGGGCCUCUUUGAAUUUUGGAGGCAGCAUAUUUCUCAUUUGGGUAUGCUACUCCAGCCUAUUUAUGAAGUGACUCGAAAAGCUGCUAGUAUUAAGUGGGACCUAGAAAAAGAAAAUGCUCUGCAACAGGUUCAGACUGCUAUGCAAGCUGCUCUGCCACUUGGGCCAUAUGAUCCAGCUGAUCCAGUGGUGCUUGAAAUGUCAGUGGCAGACAGAGAUGCUGUUUGGAGUCUUUGGCAGGCCUCUAUUGAUGAAUCGCAGCACAGACUCAGGAUUUUGGAGCAAAGCCCUGCCAUCCUCUGCAGAUAACAAUUCUCCUUUUGAGAAACAGCUUUUGGCUUGUUACUGGGCCUUAGUAGAGACUGAAUGCUUAACCAUGGGACACCAAGUCACCAUGCCGCCUGAGCUGCCCAUCAUGAAACGAGUGUUGUCUGACCCACAGAGUCAUAAAGUUCAGCAUGCACAACAGCACUCCAUCAUUAAACGGAAGUGGUAUAUAUGAGAUCGGGCCUGAGCAGGACCUGAAGGCACAAGUAAGUUGUAUGAGAAAGUGGCCCAAAUGCCCCGUGGCCUCAUCUCCUGUUACAUUACCUUCCAUCUCCCAGUCUGCACCUAUGACCUCAUGGGGAGUUCCUUAUGAUCAGUUGACUGAAGAGGAGAAAACUUGUGCCUGGUUUACAGGUGGUUCUGUGCAAUAUGCAGGCACCACUCGAAAGUGGAUAGCGGCAGCACUACAGCCCCUUUCUGGGACUUUCCUGAAGGACAGGGGUGGAGGGAAAUCCUCUCAGUGGGCAGAAUUUUGAGCAGUGGACCUGGUUGUUCACUUUACUUGCAAGGAGAAGUGGCCAGAUGUAUGAUUAUAUACUGAUUCAUGGGCUGUGGCCAAUGAUUUGGCUGGAUGGUCAGGGACUUGGAAGGAACAUGAUUGGAUAAUUGGAGAUAAGGAUUUAUGGGGAAGAGGUAGGUGGAUAGACCUCUCUGAAUGAGCCAAAGAAGUCAAGAUAUUUGUCUCUCAUGUGAAUGUGCACCAAAGGGUGACCUCAGCAUAGGAUGAUUUUAGCAAUCAUGUGGAUAGGAUGAUGCAUUCUGUGAAAACCAGUCACCCUCUUUCCCCAGAUACUCCCGUCAUUGCUCAAUGGGCUCAUGAACAAAGUGGCCAUGGUGGCAGGGAUAGAGGUUAUGCAACAUGGACUUCCACUCACCAAAGCUGACUUGGCUACUGUCCCUGCUGAUUGCCCAAUCUGCCAGCAGCAGAGACUAACACUGAGUCCCCGAUAUGGCAUCAUCCCUUAAGGUGAUCAGCCAGCCACCUGGUGCAUUCCCUCAGAUCAAGGAACUCACUUCACAGCAAAUGAAGUGUAGCAGUGGGCCCAUGCUCAUGGAAGUCACUCAUCUCACCAUGUUACCCAUCAUCCUGAAGCAGGUGGCUUGAUAGAACGAUAGAUUGGCCUUCUAAAGAAACAAUUAUGGUGCCAGGUAGGUGGCAAUACCUUGCAGGGUUGGGGCAAUGUUCUCCAGGAGUCUGUAUAUGUUCUAAACCAGCAUCCAAUAUAUGGUGCUAUUUCUCCCAUAGCCAGGAUU